UGGGGAAUAUUGCACAAUGGGCGCAAGCCUGAUGCAGCCAUGCCGCGUGUAUGAAGAAGGCCUUCGGGUUGUAAAGUACUUUCAGCGAGGAGGAAGGCGUUGUGGUUAAUAACCGCAACGAUUGACGUUACUCGCAGAAGAAGCACCGGCUAACUCCGUGCCAGCAGCCGCGGUAAUACGGAGGGUGCAAGCGUUAAUCGGAAUUACUCGGCGUAAAGCGCACGCAGGCGGUCUGUCAAGUCGGAUGUGAAAUCCCCGGGCUCAACCUGGGAACUGCAUCCGAAACUGGCAGGCUAGAGUCUUGUAGAGGGGGGUAGAAUUCCAGGUGUAGCGGUGAAAUGCGUAGAGAUCUGGAGGAAUACCGGUGGCGAAGGCGGCCCCCUGGACAAAGACUGACGCUCAGGUGCGAAAGCGUGGGGAGCAAACA
rnacentral:rRNA from 1 species